rnacentral:piRNA from 1 species
UUUUUUGGUAAUAUAAUAUCA